ACGUUGUGUGUGAAGCAGACACCGCACGCGGUGUUGGACUGUGGUGGGGGCAUUUCAGGGGAACGUAACUGCGGAAGGAAAGAUUAAUGAUAACUAAAGUGUAAGCGAACAUCAGGAAGUUAUAGGUGAUGUCUUUACAUAUAAUGAACAAUAACACUGUAACACGGAAGCUACAAAAGAUGAGAAAAUGUCUAGGCAGCUACAUGCUGAGAAAAAAUGGCGGGAAAACAACCUCUUAAAGGUCAUGACCUGACUUCUGCACCUGAGAGAGUUUGAAUGUCGCCAACACUCGCCAGGAUGUGUAUUUAGCAACCACCAUGAUCUCCAGGAUCUAGUCUCGUUAUUCUGUCCGGUAUACACAGGCCGGGCCAGUCCAGAGGAAGGGCCCGGGCGAAGCAUGACUUCGCAAACCUAACAGAGCUGAACGGCAGACACAGACAAGCAGAGACGAGACACUGCCAAGAUUCAGUGACAUCAUCUCUGUGCCACCUGCUAGAGUAUUGUGAUUGUGUUGACAUAUUCUUGUUUCUUCUUUAUAUCUUUACAUAAUUGUGUUGUAUAUACAUUUUUCGUGUCCUUUAUAUUUUUUAUAUCUUGUGCAAUAUAACCU